UUUUUUUUCUGGCAUUAAUCUAGGAAACCUUUGAAAUUCAUGAACAAAUUCAAUCCAGUACAACACUAGUGACUCUUAUUUGGAGAACAGACUGUAUUCUCUGGCAAUCAGUGGUCAAACAGAAAUAUUUUUUCUGCUCUGUGACAUGGAGGCAUACCGGUCAACAAUCCGAUUUCCGAUACCAGCCUGGCAGCCUGGACAGCUGCAUGCACCUGCACAUAAGCAACUACACUGACAGAGGAGUUUCCUCUACAGCACCCAACCUCUUGAGGCCACACCCAAGGAGACA